UGGUGGCGAUGGCGGAGGGGUUCCACCCGUUCCCAUCCCGAACACGACCGUUAAGCCCUCCAGCGCCGAUGGUACUUGGACCGAAGGGUCCUGGGAGAGUAGGACGCCGCCA
rnacentral:rRNA from 1 species